ACUGCUUAGCAGCCUUUAUUCAUGCUAGCCAUAAUUACUCAGUAGUAUGGCUCUGUGUCGCUGUCUAGUGUGUGUGUAUAUGUUUGUGUAUAUAUUUCCCGAUUUACCUGAUUGUCAGCAAAAGCUAAAGUCAUUACAUGCCUCUUAGAGGGGGAGUCGACUUGAAAAUGUUCCCUACAUUAUGUUGUAUGCGGCCUCACAAGUGUAAAGUAAACACAGUAUUCUGAUUAAUAUUGCAUUUGUGGAGUAGGAAUUCAGUCGCAAAAUCCACCUGUUUUCGACCAGCUCAGGGUGCGGCCAUUUUACCGCUUGCUGUCGAUGGAAAAUGACGUUACAGUUGCUCAAGCCCCUAUCCCACUGAACGGUGAACAAUUGCCAGUGUUUUCAAACAAAGCCAGUGAACGUUGCAUUCUCAUCAGGAUUCGUUUGGGAAAACCAAGACAAUGAAAGUCUUUGUACAACGAUGAGAUUCAUUUCAGCUA